rnacentral:rRNA from 1 species
UACGGAGGGUGCAAGCGUUAUCCGGAUUCACUGGGUUUAAAGGGGGCGUAGGUGGCUUUGUAAGUCAGUGGUGAAAUAUUGCGGCUCAACCGCAAAACUGCCAUUGAUACUGCUUAGCUUGAAUCACGUCGAGGUGGAUGGAAUAAUACAUGUAGCGGUGAAAUGCUUAGAUAUGUAUUAGAACACCGAUUGCGAAGGCAGUUCACUAGGCGUGUAUUGACACUGAGGCUCGAAAGCGUGGGGAUCAAACAGG